UGAUGUCACGGACCCAACCACCGUCGUUGGGUGACGGAAGGGGAGUGUUGGUGUCGACCGAGAAGUGCAGGGAGGGUUGGGUGUUUUAUUCUUUCCCCUCCCACAUCCAGCUUUAGCGCGAGAAUUUCUUUUUUCUUCCGUCUUCUUAAUAGUCGUAGUGGUGGUGUCGAUAGCUCGGUUGUCGACCUCCCCGGGCUGGGGAAUGAUAUAAUCGUGGAGAAUGCCGAGCUGCCGAUAGGCUGGAAGGCUUCAGGCUUGGAUGGGGCUGUUAUGGUGAGGGUCCAUGUUUAGCCGCCAUUUCGGCAGCAGAGCCGUUUAUCUAUAAGAAAAGCAGGAGGAGGACCCAGCUUUGUGACAGCUUAUUCAAAGGAGGAACCAGCUUUGUGACAGCUUAUUCAAAGGAGGAACCAGCUUUGUGACAGCUUAUUCAAUCAGAAGAAACUCUGGAAAGACUUCAUGAAGGUGUGAGCCAGGAUGUGUUUCUGUGGCAAUGGGAAGGCCAUGGGGAGAGAAGAUCAAAUGCACAGAGAAAGAGAAUACACUAGCUCAGAAAUUUAUGAAAAUAUACAGAUGGGAAUUUCCUUACUUGCAUGCCUCAUGCUUAUUUUCACAGGUCAGGCAGUCAGAUUUACUUUUGUCUGUGGGUUUCAGUCUCUUUUUGUAGUGAAUCAAUAUGAAGAAGUGCAGGCAUGAGAUAAGCUCACAUUAAGGGACUUGGGAAAAGGGUAUAAAGGGAUUUAAACAGGCUGCAAAACUAUAUAGAAAGUCAAGCAGCCAGUCAUACACAUUUAUCUCAAACAGAAAGUCUGAGCAAUCGCAAGCAGCACUGCUUAUAAAAUACACUCGAUACUAAUAGGGAGCAGAGUUUGAACACCAACAAAGCAGCACUUAACUGCAGGACUGAUUGAGGACAAGGCACAAAGGGGACUUAUUUGGGAGAAGGGAAGCUGCAGACCUCUUUUGAAAUGGCAAGCACGUGUCCUCACUUACCAUCCUGUGGAUAUACUUAGUAUGUAAGCCAUGUUCAUCCUUGUCCAGCUGGGAUUCAGCCCCUUCAACAUCCUGUUUGUAUUUUGGACUGAUUGCUAUGAUUAUCAUCACUGUCUUCUGUCAGGGAGAAAGACGCUUUUAUGAAAUUGUAAAAUGCAAUGUAGUUGGGCAAAGCAGCUUGGAAACCUGCCAGUUUGUAUUAUACGUGAUCUGAUGUUCUCUGGAAGCAUAAAACAAUCCAGUGCGUGUUGGCAAUGAAGCAAUACUAAUCUCUGCACACUGUAUUUCUUCAUACCAGAUUUCCUGAAUCUCUCCACUAGUAAAUUUUAAAAAGGGAGAGAAAAUAUAUUUCAGUAUUGACCAGGUUAUCUUCCAAAAUCUCAUUAAUCAAUAAUGCAAAACAUUUCCAAAACACAUGAGUAAUGCACCAUCAGUAUCCAAGGUAUGGAUGUUUAUUAACUGAAACUCUAUCACUGUUCAAGUAGAAUAUAUACCCUGUUCAAAGAGAAUCUGAAUUCUGUGCUACAGUAAGUCAAGAUUUUGUGACCUGUAUAAAAUAAUACACAUGAAUAAAUAUGCUUACUUUUGCUUCUGUUUUGUAUCCUAUUCCUUUCUAGUUAUACUGGCUACCUGUUUAUUUCCAGACCCAACAUAAAGGGCUGUUUUGGGCCUUUAAAGUCCUAAACUGUUUAGGAUCAGGUUAUCUGGAGGAUCACCUGGACAUGUGUGCACCUAUCUGAGCAUUACAAUCAGCCUCUGAGGCUUUGCUAUCUGGUCCACCAAUAAGAUUGAUGGGCACUGGAAACAUGGCAUCUUCAGUGAUGGAUCUGUAUUUAAAGAAUGCCCUCCCAUCACUGCUGAUUUUUAAAAGAACUCUUAACAUGUUUUUAUUUCAAUUUGUGUUUUGUUAAUUGCUGUGUCCAGAAGCAGCUCACCGAGUGGGUAAGAGCCUGGCAAUUGGGCUGCUGUGUUUUAUGGGAGGGAGAGUGGCAAGGCAACAGGAGGUUGGCCUGGUGCAAAUACACUGGCAGAGCCAAUCCAGGGCUCCUGCUGAUGCCAUUGCAGUGUGCCAACAUCCCUGCUGCUUCUCCCCUCCCCAUCCUGGUAUGGAACAGUGACCCACCUGCUGGGAAGCCAGCAUAGUGGCUCCACCCCACCCAGUGAGCUACUUCUGGUUGUGUCGUGAUAAAGUUUUACUUUGUUUUAAGGGAUAUGAUGUGGAUUUAAACUUAAUUAUUUUAUAUUUUAUAUUGUUUUGCUUAUUGUGUAUUUAAUUUGGACACUGCCUUGCGAAGGCAACUGCCCUGAAAAGCCAUUUAUAAAUCUUUGAAUGAAUGAAUGAAUAAAAAGCUGCUGCUUCACCUUA